GACGAACGCUGGCGGCGUGCCUAAUACAUGCAAGUCGAACGCUGAAGGAGGAGCUUGCUUCUCUGGAUGAGUUGCGAACGGGUGAGUAACGCGUAGGUAACCUGCCUGGUAGCGGGGGAUAACUAUUGGAAACGCUAGCUAAUACCGCAUAAUAGUAGAUGUUGCAUGACAUUUGCUUAAAAGGUGCAAUUGCAUCACUACCAGAUGGACCUGCGUUGUAUUAGCUAGUUGGUGGGGUAACGGCUCACCAAGGCGACGAUACAUAGCCGACCUGAGAGGGGGAUCGGCCACAAUGGGACUGAGACACGGCCCAGACUCCUACGGGAGGCAGCAGUAGGGAAUCUUCGGCAAUGGACGGAAGUCUGACCGAGCAACGCCGCGGGAGGGAAGAAGGUUUUCGGAUCGUAAAGCUCUGUUGUAAGAGAAGAACGAGUGUGAGAGGGGAAAGUUCACACUGUGACGGUAUCUAACCAGAAAGGGACGGCUAACUACGUG
rnacentral:rRNA from 1 species